rnacentral:rRNA from 1 species
GUCGAACGGAAAGUAACACUUGUCAUGACUAAAGCUCGCUUUAAGAUUGACUUCGUUACUUUUAGUGGCGAACGGCUGAGUAACACGUAGGAAUCUACCCCUAACUCGGGAAUAAGCCGGAGAAAUCUGGUCUAAUACCUGAUGUGGUGGCAACACUAAAGAUUUAUCGGUUAGGGAUGAGCCUGCGGCCUAUCAGCUAGUUGGUGAGGUAAAAGCUCACCAAGGCUAUGACGGGUACCGGGGAUUAGCGUCUGUACCGGCGGAGGGGCACUUAGAAACGGGCCUCACUCCUACGGGAGGCAGCAAUCGGGAAUCUUGCGCAAUGGACGAAAGUCUGACGCAGCGACGCCGCGUGAGGGAUGAAGGCCUUCGGGUUGUAAACUUCUGAAAAUAGCACCGGCUAACUACGUGCCAGCAGCAGCGGUCAUACGUGGGGUGCAAGCAUUAUCCGGAAUUACUGGGCGUAAAGAGUUCUGUAGGCGGCUAUAUAAGUCAGGGGUAAAAUACUGCGGCUCAACCGUAGAUGUGCUCUUGAUACUGUAUGGCUAGAGGAAGCUAGGGGUUAGCGGAACUCAUGGUGGAGCAGUGAAAUGCGUUGAUAUCAUGGGGAACACCAAGGAGGUAGCCAGCUAACUGGGGCUUUCCUGACGCUGAGAGACGAAAGCGUGGGUAGCGAAACGGAUUAGAUACCCGUGUAGUCCACGCCGUAAACUAUGCCUGCUAGAUACUUGGUUUUAAACUGGGUGUCGAAGCUAACGCGUUAAGCAGGCCGCCUGGGGAGUACGGUCGCAAGGCUAAAACUCAAAGGAAUUGGCGGGGACCCGCACAAGCGGUGGAGCAUGCUCUUUAAUUCGCUGAUAACCGAAGAACCUUACCAGGGUUUGACAUGUAACUGCAAAUCUGGUGAAAGCCAGACUUCUAUGAGAGUGUUACACAGGUAUUGCAUGGCUGUCGUCAGCUCGUACCGUGAGGCGUACCCUUAAGUGGGUUAACGAGCGCAACCCCUAUCGUUAGUUGUAUCAUUCUAGCGAAACUGCCGUCGCAAGACGGAGGAAGGUGGGGACGACGUCAAGUCGGUAUUGUCCUUAUAUCCUGGGCUAGAAGCAUGCUACAAUGGCGCGUACAACGGGCAGCAAACUCGCGAGAGUGAGCUAAUCCCUUAAAGCGCGUCUCAGUUCGGAUUGGAGUCUGAAACUCGACUCCAUGAAGCUGGAAUCGCUAGUAAUCGCCGGUCAGCUAUACGGCGGUGAAUACGUUCUCGGGUC